UGGGGAAUAUUGCACAAUGGGGGGAACCCUGAUGCAGCGACGCCGCGUGCGGGAUGAAGGCCUUCGGGUUGUAAACCGCUUUCAGCAGGGACGAAGCGAGAGUGACGGUACCUGCAGAAGAAGCGCCGGCUAACUACGUGCCAGCAGCCGCGGUAAUACGUAGGGCGCAAGCGUUGUCCGGAAUUAUUGGGCGUAAAGAGCUCGUAGGCGGCCUGUCGCGUCUGCUGUGAAAUCCCAGGGCUUAACCCUGGGCCUGCAGUGGAUACGGGCUGGCUAGAGGCAGGCAGGGGAGAACGGAAUUCCCGGUGUAGCGGUGAAAUGCGCAGAUAUCGGGAGGAACACCGGUGGCGAAGGCGGUUCUCUGGGCCUGUACUGACGCUGAGGAGCGAAAGCGUGGGGAGCAAACA
rnacentral:rRNA from 1 species